GCUUGCUUCGGCAGUGCGUUUACUAAAAUUGGAACAAUACAGGGAAGGUUAGCAUGGCCCCUGCUCAAGGAUGGCACACAAAUUCGUAAGGCCUCCCCAACCCCG